rnacentral:rRNA from 1 species
CGCUCAGAGGCAAGCGGAUGGGCCCUCGAAGNUGUCGCGAGAGAAUUCAGCCGAGCGGCGUGCGGCGCGGCCGCGCAGCGUUGUUGCGCGCGCGCGCGUGUGGCGAUUGUCGCUUGCGGCAGUCGUCACCGCGUGUGCGCUGCGUUGUGCGUGCUCGCGUGCCGGCUCUCGGUGCACUCUUCUCUUGUCGCACGCCACCGCUGUUGCUGCUGUACGCCCGCCGUUGGCGUGUGGACGCUCGCGCCGUUUCGCCUUGUGCGUUGCGAUGCGGGACGCUCGCCGUCGACUGCGCGUCUCUCAGUGGCGGUACGCGGUAACAGACCAGACUCGGUCGCGCAGUCGUCGUUUGGCGCGNUUCUAGCGCGCUUCGACGGCGUGCGCUCGCUGGUGCGUCAUGUCCCGUGUGGGCUGUCGCGCGGCGAUCGGCCUCGUGCCGAUUCGGUGCGCGGCGCGUACUGCNACUCGUGCGCCGCUUGAAUGCGACGACGACGACGAAAGCGAGUCGGUGGCGAGUAGNCGGUCUCCUAUCCAUCCCGUCUUGAAACACGGACCAAGGAGUCCAACAUGCGCGCAGGNCGUUGGGUGUUGCGCAUACCCGAAGGCCGAGUGAACGCGAGAGGCGGCGACACUGGUCGCCGCCGUUUGCGGCGAGAUCCUGUCGCUGGUGCGCGCCUUUGCAGGCGCGUCCACUUGCAGGCAGGCGCAUCGCCGGCCCGUCGAAUGCGGUCACGAGCCGCCGACCGGAGCUAGAGCGCGCACGUUGGGACCCGAAAGAUGGUGAACUAUGCCUGGGCAGGAUGAAGCCAGGGGAAACCCUGGUGGAGGUCCGUAGCGAUUCUGACGUGCAAAUCGAUCGUCUGACCUGGGUAUAGGGGCGAAAGACUAAUCGAACCAUCUAAUAGCUGGUUCCCUCCGAAGUUUCCCUCAGGAUAGCUGGCGCUCGUACCCAGGCAGUCUCUCCCGGUAAAGCGAAUGACUAGAGGUCUUGGGGUCGAAACGACCUCAACCUAUUCUCAAACUUUAAAUGGGUGAGAAGUCCGGCUUACUUGACUUGCGCGCGCUUGCGUGCGCUGAAGUCCGGACCGAAGCAAUUCAUCNGGAUGCCUGAGUGCCAAGUGGGCCAUUUUUGGUAAGCAGAACUGGCGCUGUGGGAUGAACCGAACGUCGAGUUACGGCGCCCGAGUGAAACGCUCAUCAGAUCCCGUAAAAGGUGUUGGUUGCUAUAGACAGCAGGACGGUGGCCAUGGAAGUCGGAAUCCGCUAAGGAGUGUGUAACAACUNACCUGCCGAAGCAACUAGCCCUGAAAAUGGAUGGCGCUCGAGCGUUCCGCCUAUACUCGACCGUUGCGGCACGCGCGCUCUCUCGGCGAGAGCGCCGCGCGAGUAAAGCCGCAACGAGUAGGAGGGUCGCGGCGGUAUGCGUCGAAGGGUUAGCGGCGCGAGCCGGCCUGGAGCUGCCGUCGGUGCAGAUCUUGGUGGUAGUAGCAAAUACUCAAGCGAGAACCUUGAGGACUGAAGUGGAGAAGGCUUCCAUGUGAACAGCAGUUGAACAUGGGUCAGUCGAUCCUAAGGCAUCGGCGAAAGCCGUUCAGACGCGGUGUCGAGCUUUAGGCGGCGUGCGUUUNCGCGCGCGCCGCCGGCUGUGUGCGCUUCGCGCGUGCACNGUGGCCGCACCUGCCGAAAGGGAGUCGGGUUAAUAUUCCCGAACCGGGCAGCGGAGACUGGCCGCUCGUUCGGCUGUAGCGGCCCUAGCGCCGCUGCAGUCCGGGGCGGCUCACUGCGGCGACGCAAACGAACCUGGAUACGCCGGCCGGCGCCCUGGGAAGAGUUGUCUUUUCUUCAUAAGGGGCCGACUGCCUGGAAUCGGUUCAGCCGGAGAUAGGCAGAUGGCGCCCGAAAAGCACCGCGGCUCUUGCGGUGUCCGGUGCGUGCCGGUCGGCCCGUGAAAAU